UACCACAGGGAGAAUGUGUGUAGUGGGCGUUCCAGUGACCUAUGAUAUUAUUUAGCAGGGUUGGGGACCAAUUCUGUUUCCUUAUAUAAAAGAAAAUACUUCCUGAAUUGACUUGAAUUGAAAUGGAAUCGACUCCCAAACCUUCUGUUUUAAAAUGGUGUGUUUUAGUGACCUUUCCACAUACUGUUUCAUCUGUUUCGUUCUGACAUGACUGCGUACUCAGUUUUGUGCGCUGUAGCCUACCUGCACAGAUCGGGACUGAAGAUGUACAGUCUCUCCGUCUUGGACAGCAGGGGGUGGAAGGCACUGCCGUCUGUACCGUUGAUCAUAUUACUCUGCUCAGACGUCCACAGGCUCAGUUUACUGAAACACAAUGAUUUAUUUCUAAAUGUAACUCAAUUAAAGGAAGAAUCUAAUACCUAUAAAAUACAAAAGCACUGUCUAGCCCAAUGUUUGAUUGUUUAGGUUUAUACGACUUAUCAAACAAUGUAUUAAAUCAAAUCAAAUGAAAUGUUAUUGGUCACGUACAUAUAUUUAGCAGAUGUUAUUGCGGGUGUAUCGAAAUGCUUGUGUUACUAGCUCUAACAGUGCAAUAAUAUCUAACAAUUCACAACAAUACACACAAAUCUAAAAGUAAAAUUAUUAAAGUGACUAGUGUUCCAUAAUUAAAGUGACUAGUGUUCCAUUAUUAAAGUGACUAGUGUUCCAUAAUUAAAGUGACUAGUGUUCCAUUAUUAAAGUGACUAGUGUUCCAUUAUUAAAGUGACUAGUAUUCCAUUAUUAAAGUGACUAGUGUUCCAUUAUUAAAGUGACUAGUGUUCCAUUAUUAAAGUGACUAGUGUUCCAUUAUUAAAGUGACUAGUGUUCCAUAAUUAAAGUGACUAGUGUUCCAUUAUUAAAGUGACUAGUAUUCCAUUAUUAAAGUGACUAGUGUUCCAUUAUUAAAGUGACUAGUGUUCCAUUAUUAAAGUGACUAGUGUUCCAUUAUUAAAGUGACUAGUGUUCCAUUAUUAAAGUAACCAGUAAUUCCAUGUCUAUAUAGGGCAGCAGCCUCUAAGGUGCAGGGUUGAGUAGCUGGGUGGUAAUUGGCUAGUGAUGGCUGUUUAACAGUCUGAUGGCCUUGAGAUACAAUGUUAAUACACAUUUGUGCUUUAUCUUGUUAGGUUCUAUAACAGAGUAAAAAAAAACUCAUGGACAACUAGGGAAAGCUUGAACCAAGUUUAUUCACCCAAUGGGUCAGACAGCUGACAGCUGAACAGACAAAGACAUGUUCCCACCAGCACAAGUAUAUAUACCCCACUUUAGGUGUGGUAUAUAUAAGCAGGAAGUUAACUGAUGUGAACUGUUCCUUCUCAAUGUGACCCGGACCUAACCUCGGGCCCCAUUCCUCACUACUUAUCAGUGACAUAAACCAUGUGAUUGCCUUUCCUUUACUCAGUACAUUCCCCUGGCUCAUAUCCAACCUGAAUUGACCUCACGAUAUUCAAACGUCCUACAGAUAUCCAUUAACUUCUGGUGUAGAAACCAGACUGUGGUCCUUCUCCUUUCCAUAGGAUACCUGCUGUCUAACAAGAACAUGUUCUGACAGAAUGUAAACGUUCUGCAUUCCCCUCUCUCUCUCUCUCCGUAGCAUUGAUCAAGGAUAUUUCACACUUCAAGUUCAGAAGUCUGAAGCCAUCAAUCUAAUCAAAGGGGAAGAAGGAAAAGAUGCUGCCCUGCGUCCAUACUGAUACUCUAGCAGGACGUGAGAAGAUAGCUAACGAGAAGUUCUCAUUGAGUCUUUUCUAACAGGGCCAAAUACCAGAAUGUGACAAUCACACAGCUCUGUGUUCUGGCUAGGCUAGGGGCCUCUGGGGAGUCUCUCUCUCUCUCUCUCUCUGGUGCUGCAGACUCCUGGUCCACAUUCCAAAUGGAACCCUAUUUCCUAUACAGAGCACUACUUUGAAACAGGGCCAACAGGGGCUCUGGUCAAAAGUAGGAGCACUACAUAGAGAAUAGUGUGCCAUUUGGGAUGCAAGCCCUGUCCUCUGUUACUCUCUCGCAGUAUGUAGAAGGUCUUAGGAAACCUGUGGACUGUUCCAUUCCAGUCUUUUACACAAGAGAGUUACUUAAUGAUGGGUUUCUCAUCAUCAAACACAAGUGUUCAUCUAGGAGACGAUGUGCAGGUUACAGUAUGUAAUGUAGCAGACGGAGGAUGUGCAGGUUACAGUAUGUAAUGUAGCAGACAUAGGAUGUGCAGGUACAGUAUGUAAUGUAGCAGACAGUUAGAUGAUGUGCAGGUACAGUAUGUAAUGUAGCAGACAGACAAUGUGCAGGUACAGUAUGUAAUGUAGCAGACAGACGAUGUGCAGGUACAGUAUGUAAUGUAGCAGACAGUUAGAGGAUGUGCAGGUACAGUAUGUAAUGUAGCAGACAGUUAGAGGAUGUGCAGGUACAGUAUGUAAUGUAGCAGACAGUUAGAGGAUGUGCAGGCACAGUAUGUAAUGUAGCAGACAGUUAGAGGAUGUGCAGGUACAGUAUGUAAUGUAGCAGACAGACGAUGUGCAGGUACAGUAUGUAAUGUAGCAGACAGAUGAUGUGCAGGUACAGUAUGUACUGUAGCAGACAGAGGAUGUGCAGGUUACAGUAUGUAAUGUAGCAGACAGAGGAUGUGCAGGUACAGUAUGUAAUGUAGCAGACAGUUAGAGGAUGUGCAGGUUACAGUAUGUAAUGUAGCAGACAGUUAGAGGAUGUGCAGGUACAGUAUGUAAUGUAGCAGACAGACGAUGUGCAGGUACAGUAUGUAAUGUAGCAGACAGACGAUGUGCAGGCACAGUAUGUAAUGUAGCAGACAGAGGAUGUGCAGGUACAGUAUGUACUGUAGCAGACAGUUAGAGGAUGUGCAGGUACAGUAUGUAAUGUAGCAGACAGUUAGAGGAUGUGCAGGUACAGUAUGUAAUGUAGCAGACAGUUAGACGAUGUGCAGGUACAGUAUGUAAUGUAGCAGACAGUUAGAGGAUGUGCAGGUACAGUAUGUAAUGUAGCAGACAGAGGAUGUGCAGGUACAGUAUGUAAUGUAGCAGACAGUUAGAGGAUGUGCAGGUACAGUAUGUAAUGUAGCAGACAGAUGAUGUGCAGGUACAGUAUGUAAUGUAGCAGACAGUUAGAGGAUGUGCAGGUACAGUAUGUAAUGUAGCAGACUGUUACAACACAGCACUAUCUUUUGGAGUCACUUUCUUAUGAGGAUCCAGCACUCCACUUUUUUUUGGGGAAGAAUAAUCUGUGAGUGAGUAUCACGUUGUCUAUUAUCUAAGUUACAACACAGAAACAUGUGUGUCAUCGUGGGCCAAUAUGUUUCGGUACCUUUCCCCUUUAAACGUGGCUACCCUGCCGUAGUCCAUGAAGUCCGCCUCCCCGGUAUGAUAAACAAAUUCACCAUCGUUGCUUCCAUUUUUCUACAGAGUGGGAAAAUAAUGAAAAUCAUUUUAAAGUGUAUAUUUUAUUUUCUCAUAUUAUUAUUUUAUCACCGCACAGGACUUUAGGUGGCCACGGCAACCCCCAGCAGAUACAACAGGUUGCAGUGACCAUUGUAAAUCCAACGUCUCCUAGGCUACAGUACCCAAAUACUUAUUUACGGAACUUAGUGAGGAACUGAGUAGGUCAAAUUCUUCAUUUUGUAUUGGCACCGAGUGGACACCUACCUUGUACAUUAGGCCAAAGUACUCGUCGAUCUCUGGGUUUAUGGGAUGGAUGCGGGACAACAGAGGGUCCUUGAAGCCCCACAGCAGCUCGUUGACGGAGCGCGUCAUGAACAUGCCGACUUGCAGGGAGUUCAUCCAUACAGAUACCAUCGAACUCUUCCAGAAACUAUCCUUCACCUUGUUCAUCACCGCCUGAGGAGGGAGGAGGGAGGGGGAACCUGAAAACCCUGUUUACUCAGCACAACCUGAAAACCCUG
rnacentral:lncRNA from 1 species